rnacentral:ribozyme from 1 species
AACUACGGCAAGCAAGACACCAUCGAAAACAGUGCCUUUUCUGUGGCCUUUGCUGAAAUCAAGAACAACCGCCCCAUCUUCCUGCUAGGAGCCAUUCAAGCUUUCUUUGAAGGAUCUAUGUGCGAUACGAUACUUCACUGUUCUCUCUCUCCAUCUAUCUCCCUUUUUUUCUAUCUGGAACACCAUUGAGAGGCUGCUUUCUCUCGAUAUAUAGAGAGGAAAAGAAGAAGAAGAAGAACCUAUUGAUAUAUAUUGUUGUUAGAUGGA